rnacentral:rRNA from 1 species
CAGUCGCCGCGGUAAUACGAAGGGUGCAAGCGUUAAUCGGAAUUACUGGGCGUAAAGGGUGCGUAGGCGGUUGUUUAAGUCUGUUGUGAAAUCCCCGGGCUCAACCUGGGAAUGGCAAUGGAAACUGGACGGCUAGAGUGUGUCAGAGGAUGGUGGAAUUUCCGGUGUAGCAGUGAAAUGCGUAGAGAUCGGAAGGAACAUCUGUGGCGAAGGCGACUAUCUGGGCCAACACUGACACUGAGGCACGAAAGCGUGGGGAGCAAACAGGAUUAGAUACCCCGGUAGUCCCUGUCUCUUAUAC